AUUGAACGCUGGCGGAAUGCUUUACACAUGCAAGUCGAACGGCAGCACGGGGGCAACCCUGGUGGCGAGUGGCGAACGGGUGAGUAAUACAUCGGAACGUGCCCAGUCGUGGGGGAUAACUACGCGAAAGCGUAGCUAAUACCGCAUACGAUCUACGGAUGAAAGCGGGGGAUCGCAAGACCUCGCGCGAUUGGAGCGGCCGAUGGCAGAUUAGGUAGUUGGUGAGGUAAAGGCUCACCAAGCCUGCGAUCUGUAGCUGGUCUGAGAGGACGACCAGCCACACUGGGACUGAGACACGGCCCAGACUCCUACGGGAGGCAGCAGUGGGGAAUUUUGGACAAUGGGGGCAACCCUGAUCCAGCCAUGCCGCGUGCGGGAAGAAGGCCUUCGGGUUGUAAACCGCUUUCGGCCGGAACGAAAUCGCCGGGGAGAACAUCCCCGGUGGAUGACGGUACCGGAAGAAGAAGCACCGGCUAACUACGUGCCAGCCGCCGCUGUAAAAC
rnacentral:rRNA from 1 species